GACCCAGAAGUAAUGCAGUCGUGAACCAGGAAGCAUAAAAGGAGUAAACAAACCACAACACAUCGCUCAGUCAUUGAGUUCGCCCAUGCCACUUCGGAUUUAUUCGCCGAUUCCUAAUAGAAAGAAGGUUGAAGCCCAUCUAACUGGCGGGGGCCCUUCACCACCUCCCCUCACCCGAUCUGAGGAGCUGGCUCUGUCCCUUAAUAGAGGGCAACCAGUGAAACUAACAUGGUGAAAUGUACUGAUAAAGGGAUUGUAUUAUUGGACCCUACAGAAAGAACACAGUCUGUCACAGUUGAUAAAGAUGAAGAGACCACAUCUGCUGUGACAGAAGUGGACAAUGCUGGUAGAUCCACUGAGGUAUGAUGCAUACUAUUAUAAUGCAUGCCCCCUUUUUACAUUAGAGUAACAAACUGUCAUUGU